rnacentral:lncRNA from 1 species
AACAUUCAUUUUUGUAUUACGUUGCUAAAUUGAUCUUUAUUGUAGUUUUUAUACUGAUCAAGAUUUAAAAACGAUAUUAAUUUUUGUAUUUUUGAAUGCGCAAAAUGUUGAAGUAGAAAAUAUAUGAAACGGUAACGUUGUUGAACACCUCAUGCUUUUAAGUUGGCUAAAUGAUCAACAAUCUUACAUUGCAAUGUUUCUUCCAUUUAUUCUACUACUAGUGCUUUCAUAUAAUUUUACAUUGCCACAAUAAGAAUGAAAUUAAGAUCACUAGAAAGAUGAUGAUGAAUAGGGAGAACUUUCCAAAAGAAGUGUACUUCUAUCUGGUGCAGGUGUUGAAAAAAUGAAUGAUGAAAUUAAAAUGUUUCCCCAUAUAUAGUAGUGCUUCCCAUAUAUGGGGAGCAUUACUAUAUGUAAUGUACUAUGAACCAGUUUAGUAGCACAUGAGAAUUGCAAAUUUGCAUUUUUAAUCAUCAGUUACUGGAAGGGCAGAUUUUCAGUUUACCUUAAUUUCAUUGUUUUCUUGACAUCUGCACCAAAUGGAGGUAUAGUCUUUUUGGAAAAACUGUACAUUAGAGAAUAAAAAAUUUGCCCCCAGUAAGAUCAAGUUUGUAUUCCACAUUACAGGAGAUCAACAGCUUAAAAAUAUUAUCAUAUAUAACUUCCAAAUUAGUUUGUAUAUUUGCCAUGAAACUUGAUUUGGAAGAAAACAGGAUCAACUUUUUUAUUGAUAUGUGAAUCCCAAAUAAGCUGUUAAAAAAAGGCAAACUUUCUUCCAUAUGCCCUUUAUUUUGUAAGCAGUUUUUGUCCAUGAAUUCUUUAAAACUUGCUGCACAUAGGAUAUUAAAGACUCUUGCUAAAUGUUAUGCUGCUUUCCACUCUACUGGAUAUGAAGGAGCAAAAUAUUUUUAUGUCCUUCAUAGAUUGCCCAUACAUGUGAUUGUUUUUUGUGUGCAUUUUGUGAGGGUAACAGGAUGGCUGUACAGUUCAUUAUUUUAUGUUGUUUUAUGUUACUUUUCUGUUGGAAGUAACUAAUUGGUGAAGAUAUUUCAGUGUUCACUAUAGGCCACUUGUCCUGUAGUGGGUUGGCUGUGAUAUGAAGAACUGAUUCCAUAUCUUUAGAUUUCUUCAAUAAAAAUUUAGCUUAAAUUUUUAUUGAAGUCUGAAAGUAUGGAACCUGGAAUUCAAUGGAAUUUGAAUGGGAUCUCCAAGAUGAAAUUCAACACAGUUCCAUGUAAUUGACUCAUUUUUGCUCCAAAUUAUUAGAAUGAGGUUUGGAUUUUCAUUCAAAUGCCAGUUUAAAUCAAGUUUUUAGCUCAAUAAUGGAAUUAAAUAUAUUUGAGGGCAAGGUAACUUAUAUAUGUGAUGCAAAUUACUCUAAGAGAUCGGAAGA